AUCAAUAAGCGGAGGAGAAGAAACUAACCAGGAUUCCCCCAGUAACGGCGAGCGAAGCGGGAACAGCUCGAGCAGGCAAUCUCUGGUGUUGAUCGCCAGCGAAUUGUGGCCGGUAGAGGCGGGUGCACCUGACGCGACUUCGCCGAAGUUGACCUGGAAAGGCACGUCGGAGAGGGUGAUAGCCCCGUGCGCGGCGAAGUCGCCGACGGACGCUACCGUCUUCUGAGAGUCGGGUUGUUUGGGAGUGCAGCCCAAAGUGGGUGGUAAACUCCAUCUAAAGCCAAAUAGCGGCACGAGACCGAUAGCGAACAAGUACCAUGAGGGAAAGGUGAAAAGCACUUUGGAAAGAGAGUUAAAGAGGCCGCGAAACCGUUGGGAGGGAAACGCAUGCAGCCGAACCGGCCCGCGUCGAGUUCACGGGGCUGCCGCGAGUCGUGUCCGUCGUCGGCACCGAAAGGGUCGGCGUUGGGCUCUGGCUUUCGGCUCCCCUGCACUCUCGGUGCUUCGGGCCGGCCAAGCGCGGCGGGAUCCGGGCGACGAGCUCGGUCGGGCAGGUAACGCAGCCGCCUGGCGGAGGCGAACUUAUAGCCGGCCUAGCGGAGCGUCCGGGACCCGCCGAGGAGAGUGGUGGCAUUUCCACCCAAGCAGCGCAGGCCGCUCGUCGGCAGGGGCUCUCUGGCUCGUUGGCGAGCCGCUCCGAACCACUGCGUGCAGUGGCCGGGGACGGUCCGUCUCCGUGUCGGGGGUAGCUCACUCCUUGCGCUCGGGCCGCUUGGCCAGACGUCGGCUGCAUCCGA
rnacentral:rRNA from 1 species